GACUGUCUUAGAGGGCGGAGUCGCUGAAAUGGCAGGCGGUUCUUUGUCACAUCAAGCGGGCCACGCACCAUCGCGAACACCGGGGGCUUGGGGGAGGCGGGGCGCCUAGUGAAAGCGUUCAUAUGGAAAACGGGGCUCAGCCACAGUCUGUCGAUUCGCUUAAGGGGAGCGAUUUGGCUGUGAGCGCACCCCGAAUCGCUUUAUCGCCUAGUUCUUCUAUCUAAUACACGUGGACGCAAUGCACGCAUGCACUUAUGCACGCGAUCUUAAACAUUUAAUUACACGAUUGCUGUACUUCUUAAGUUUAUUUCAAACUUAUUUUUUGUAAAUCAUUUAAGAUUUUUUUUUCCUCCACUGAGCUAAGCGAUAUUCAGGAGGACGUAGGCAUUAGCAGGCAGAGUCACACGUUACCUAAGCAUACUCCCGUGGUUGAGCGGACAGUGGGAAGCGGGAGCCUGAUUACCGGCCUGCACUUGCGUUGUGUUUGUCUGCGACGCUAGAUGGCAGAAUGGAGCCAAGGGACGGACGAGGCUGCAGGAGUCGCGUUCAGUGGGCGCCGGAGCAUGGACCUUUGAGCGAAUUACAUAAUGUAACUCAGACGUUUAUUAAGUGUGCAAAUUACAGAACUGUUUAAUCGUGUUUGUGGCCAUAUGUGUUCAGUAAACAACCAAAGGUUCAACCCUCAGCCACCUCUUCUUAGCAAAACCAGGUAAAGGUCAAUUUAUGACAUAAAUUAAUGUGCUAUUUUCCCUGCAUGCUGACCCAAAGGUAUAUAUUACUAACUGAAUGUGCAAGUAACUAAUAAAUUACUAUGUGAAUUAGGAGGUAGCACGUGCACGGACGCAAAAUAAUGAAAACUCAAUUUAAUGUUCCCACUGUCUCGUUUCUACGAAAACAGUACUGCGUGUAGUCUACUGUCAUACUCAAGAAUAAAUUGCAGUUAAAACUAUAUUUACAUAUAACGAACGAGCAAAUCGGUGAUCACCUUUAUGGUAGCCCAUGUUAUUACUUAAAAAUCCAGCAGGGUGGUUAUUCAGGCUUGUUUUCACACUUAUAUCUGGAGCCGCUAGAUUUGGUUUAUAACGUUUAAAAAAACAAAAAUGAGAACGGACAGCCCAAAUGUACAUUGUUUGCAAUGGAAUUUAAGCUGCAAUACAACCUGAAUAAUUUCUAUUAUGCAUGUUUAAAGAGUAACAUCAAAGCAAAUUUCAGGCAUUUAACGAGCAGCUUAAAGGAGUCGGUGGCAAGCGCACGUGAAGGCGCACGUACCAGCGUGUGUGCAUGCGCAGGGAAAGCGGGUUGUCUGAGGAGAAGACUAGAAGCUCCUCAGUAAUUGAUGAUCCUUUCUUAACUAUUAUAUGGGAGCUUCUUUGCCUGUUCCUCAGUUUCUAUGCGCACUCGCGGUGCGCGGGAGAGUGUCGCGUGGAAGCUCGGCGCGCGGCAGGUGUGGCCCGUGGCUGGUUUGGCGCGAAACCGCUCUGCAGUUCAGGGAAGAGGCGCAGUCCGUUACAAAACCACCCAAAACAAACAAAUAUAACGUUAAAAUAUAAACGCCACUCCAGUCUUUUUUAUAAACAUGUUGAUAAUAUCAUUAACAGUUUUACAGCUGGCUUAAUUUACGGAGACCGACAGCAGACAGAAAAUAUCUGGAAUUGGUUCUGUGAGGCUGUGAAAUCCCCCUUAUUACUUCCAGUAUUACACAGUGGAGCUGAGGACGUCCCCUUCCCUUCCUGGGGCAUGUUUCUGGCUCACGUUUGCCCAGUACUGCACAAGCACUUAAGGAAGACAGACGGACAGAUAGACGCUUUGCAUAGUACGUGCAUAUUACAAACUGAUGGACUGUUUGGUUUGGAGACAAGUCACUCCCAAGAAGAGCCGAUGAAGGUCAUCCUACAGUCCAAGAACAUGAAAGAAAGUGAACGGAGCCCGGCAAUGGUCCAGGGCAUCCAAUGACCUCUCCUUCAUGGAAUGGGCUCCAGGCUCACUGUAACCCUCUACUGGACUAGCUGUUAUGGAAAAAUGUGUAAGAAGUAAUCUUUUCUCUGC